CACAUCAUUAGGGGGCACUGGGGGAAACUAAUGAGUUCACAUGUACCCCUCUUUGGGCCAAAGUUGCCCAGUGGGAGUCCAUGCGAUACUCCUCAGGUCCAGGGUUAUCUUUGUCAAACAAACACAGUGAGUGAGACUGUGUGGUGGUGAAGGUGGACAUGGACCACACCUUCGGGACUGUCUCUGUUUAUUACUAUAAACAGACACUAAACUUCAGUGAUGUGGGGCCGUGUGCAAAAAGAAUAAAUCAUAAACAAGUCUGAAAUAAAAGACACAAACACUCAUCACAUCAAAAUAAGCGAAAAUCUCGUGACUCUAAACCCUUUAUUCAUCAUUACUAAACAGCUACAAGCUGCAUUUUCAAGUGUUUAUUAAUGUUCAGUAUUUGUUCUAACUUCUCUUAUGAAGACAUAUAUUAUAGUAUUCACUAUAUUGAAUAAUACAUUGAUUAUCUGUUUAUAGGGAAGCUUGAUGAGUUAGUUAAUACAGUCUGUUAGUGACCAGUUAUUAAGUCUUAUAGGGAUUAUUCUGAUCAAUAAACCAGUUAUUACAUCUUUAUACUGACAGGUGUGGUUGGGUGUGGACAGAAGUGUCCUUUGUUGCACCUGUGCCCACACCCAGGAGGGACGUCACAGUGUCCCGGAGCGUCCUGUGAGAGCCGCUCUUCAGUUCAGCAUGUCCAUCAGUAACUGAAUAUGUGAUGCUCUAUGUGAAUGUGUGGGAGCUGUGAUUGCUCACUGAAGGACAACAGCAGGUGCCACAUCCUCUGAAGGCGGAAGCUGAAGAAUUCGAAGGCUGUCGUUUUGAAGGCUCCUUCGUUUUCCCAGGCAACCAUGAAUCAGUCUUCAAAAAGACAAUAUGGCGUCUGACCGUAUCAUUUUGGUUCAGUCAUAGCGGUUUCAGCAGUUUUCGAAGGCCACGCCUUCGUGGACCGUGUCCUUCGAAGGGUGCAGCCACUGAAUUGAGACACAACGUCUGUGAAGAGAAACUGUUGCAGCACAACUGAACAUACGUUUUACACGUGCAGAAAACAUAUCUUUCUUAAAUGUAGAUGUUUGUUUUAUUAACAAUACGUAGCAUAGAAAUAGGUUGGAAGUUUGCAGUUUAGUAUGAGAACUGUCCAGUUUCAGUAUGCUAACAUACCUCACUGUGUUGUUUUUAGCAUAACAUUUCAUAAUGUUGUGUUUCUGUGAAACAUGAUCGUUUGAAUAUAAAAUUAGAAUCAAGUUUGAGGUCAGAUAUGUCAAUCAUGUGACCUCUUUGAGUCUAAACAGGUCUGAUAUCAGCAAGCUAACGUUAACUUUGGUUUGUCGGUGUUUAUAGUAACAACUAGUCUCUUUAACUAGACGACGUGUAAAACUUAAUAAACAAUUUCUGCUUAAUAACCUUUGCUUUUGUUACUUGAAAUACAUUGAAACAGAAGUAACAUUUUGAAUUUUAGGUAUAAAUGAGUGUUUUUACACUCUGUUGUUCCUACUUUUAUUAAAUUAAAGGAUGAGAGCUUGU